CCUGUCCCCAGGACCAUCAUUGUCUUCAUCUUCAUCUUCAUUGAGGAAGCUGAAGCUCUCCAGGGCAUGCUCCACAGUGAUGCUGAGACUGGAGGCCCGGCUGCGAGUCAAGCCUUGUCUCUGCUGAGGAUAUAAAGGCACCAUCCCGGAGACGCCGCUGGACACAGUAUGCUUCAUACAACUCAUCGAUCUGGGAAGGGUCUUGCUAUAUGUUCAGGCUGACUUCAAACUCCAGGCAAUCCUCCUGGCUCAGCCUCCUGAGUACUGGAAUACUGGAAUUACAGGAUCAAUAUACUGUUCCAGAAGUUACCAUCAAGAGGAAGUGGGCUAUCAAGCAAGAAGUAGAAGCCUAAGGAAUAAGGGAAGGCCUUCGGUUUGCUGCUGAGGAAAUCUUCUAGGAUCCAUUCUUGGAAAGAACCAAGUUGGACACAAGCUUCCAUCUUCAACCUUUGCAGCAUUGCCGGUUUUAUGAAAAAAAAUUCUGGGUUUGAAUUACAGUGGCAUCUUAUCACUUGUAGUAAGAUAGAGGACCUGGGGCUUUUGGCUGCAUCUAAGACAUCUCUGGGUUGGCUGCAGCCCUUCUCAGCUUAUUCUUCCAGACUCUCCCGAACUCCUUGACCUGGUGCCAAACUCUGGCCUAAUGUGAGAAAAGCAUCCUAUGGGCCAGCAUUCACCCUGAAUAUUAGGAUGGGUCAUUCCAAGAUAAGCCUCAAAGAAAAUUAUGAGGGUCAGUUUUCUGGUCCCUGUAGGGAGCGGUGCAACCACCCCAUUGCUGCCUCCCCGCCUCCCUCUCCUAUGGGCAUAUGAUGCACCUGCCUACAUUAACCAUAAUCCUCUCCUGCUUACAUCACAUACCCAGAUGUGAUGAUGACCCAUCAGAAACCACCCCGUAGCCUCUUCCUAUCCCACCAGCCCACUCUUGGCCCAUAAAGGAUGCGACCACUUCCUGAAUAAAUGAGCCUUGAUCGGAUUCUCUCGACUUGCUUCAAUCUCUUUGUCUCCCCCCUGUUUUAUUUCAUCCCCGUUCCCCCUCCAGGUAUAUACCCCACGGAUUGAUCCGUGGGCCGGAUCAAGUGGCGCCCAGCGUGAGGGCUCCUGGCACGGGGGAGUCAACGAGGAAGCCAUUCGAGAACGUCAGCUAAAAGUGGAAGCACAUUGAAUCAAGGACGGAGGCCUGCGCGGACGACUGCCCAAUGUGCUGCCCGAGUCACAGUGAAUGAAUGGCAACUCCAUUCCCUUUCCUGGACAUGGGUCAAGCAUUGAGCGAACAUAAAUUGUUCGUGAGAGGCCUUAGCAAGGCAUUAAAGACAAGAGGCCCAUUCAGGUACACUAUCACCAGCUGGAGAUGGCAGAUCAACAAACCUACCGGGAAGGAAUUCCCACGAGUGGUCCAUAUGAUGAUGCGACUUAACCACCCUGAGGCAAUGGACAGGCAGCCAGAGACGGGCAACUAGGACAUACAUGUUACUCCAUUGGCCACCCAAGACAGGCACAGGACAGACUGCUGUCCUGCAAGCUCAUGACGGGUAAGGUCUGGUUGGGUUCAUGUAAUGAGGUUCCUUGACCUAAGACAGGCGCUGUCCUCACAGGGCCUUCCAUACUCCUGAUUAAAUAAUAUAGAAAGGGAGGAGAUGUAGGGAGCGGUGCGACCGCCCCAUUGCUGCCUCCCCGCUUCCCUCUCCAAUGGGCAUAUGAUGCACCUGCCUACAUUAACCAUAAUCCUCUCCUGCUUACGUCACAUACCCGGACGUGACGAUGACCCAUCAGAAACCACCCCGUAGCCUAUUCCUGUCCCACCAGCCCGCCCUUGGCCCAUAAAGGAUGUGACCACUUCCUGAAUAAAUGAGGCUUGAUCGGAUUCUCUCGACUUGCUUCAAUCUC